GACGAACCGUGCGAACGUUAUUCGGAAUCACUGGGCUUAAAGGGCGCGUAGGCGGGUCGGUAAGUCAGGGGUGAAAUCCCACGGCCCAACCGUGGAAGUGCCUCUGAUACUGCCGGCCUCGAGGGGGAUAGGGGCGUGCGGAACUCAGGGUGGAGCGGUGAAAUGCGUAGAUAUCCUGAGGAACACCGGUGGCGAAGGCGGCUCACUGGCCCGGUACUGACGCUGAGGUGCGAAAGCGUGGGGAGCAAACAGG
rnacentral:rRNA from 1 species